AUCCAAAUAAAUAAAAAGCAAAAUUUAAACAAUAAACUAUAAGCGGUGUUUAUCAAUUUUUUGUCUUAUUUCAUGUUACUUUUACACUUGAAGCAGGAACCAUAAAUUAAAUUUUUUAAAACUUUUUGCUUAAAAACAUUUGUUUAAGAAAACAUUUACUUGAAAUGUAUGAACACCAGAGUAAUUUUUCAGUAUCAGAAUUCUGCAGGUUAUAUUUUGGCAAUAUGAUCUGAUCAACUUAUUUACAGGAAGAAAAAGUGUGAUUUUCAGUCCUGUUAUUUUACUACAUCUUGAGGGUCCACCUUAUUUUCCUUGAGGAAUAGGAGGAACAGCAAACACUCAUUCAACAGUGUCUACCAAAUCCUUCCAAGUACAGAUCACCCUCUGCUGAUUUCCUCCUAGUAUUCUGAGGAACAUGCAUUUAUCUAGAAGCUGAGUAACCCAAAAUAUCCAGGUUUUUGCUAGCACUGAGUGACAGAGAAGCAUGAAGUUAUCCCUCCAUACAUAAAUAUUCUUGUUCCAGUUAUUACUGAGGCACUAGGAACCCUGAAUCAGCAGAUCUUUAUAAAGACAAAAGCAACACCCUUCCAAAAAAGGAAAAAAAAAAAAAAAGUGCUUUUAGUAGAUUUUAGUGAGAUGGUCAGAUUCCAACUUCUGCAGUGAGGUGGCUGACAUGAAAUUACUAGAUGGUGACAAAAUACACCAGGUGUUCAAUUUAUGGAAAAAAUAUCCAGAGAUGAGACUUUUGACCUCCUAAUUCAAUAAAUUUUACUAAUAGAAGACUAAAAUUCUGGCA
rnacentral:lncRNA from 1 species